GAUGAACGCUGGCGGCGUGCUUAACACAUGCAAGUCGAACGGAAAGGCCCAAGCUUGCUUGGGUACUCGAGUGGCGAACGGGUGAGUAACACGUGGGUGAUCUGCCCUGCACUUCGGGAUAAGCCUGGGAAACUGGGUCUAAUACCGGAUAGGACCACUUCUUGGAUGUUGUGGUGGAAAGUUUUUUCGGUGUGGGAUGAGCUCGCGGCCUAUCAGCUUGUUGGUGGGGUAAUGGCCUACCAAGGCGUCGACGGGUAGCCGGCCUGAGAGGGUGUACGGCCACAAUGGGACUGAGAAACGGCCCAGACUCCUACGGGAGGCAGCAGUGGGGAAUAUUGCACAAUGGGCGGAAGCCUGAUGCAGCGACGCCGCGUGGGGGAAGAAGGCCUUCGGGUUGUAAACUCCUUUCGCUAGGGACGAAGCGUUUUGUGACGGUACCUGGAGAAGAAGCACCGGCUAACUACGUG
rnacentral:rRNA from 1 species